rnacentral:rRNA from 1 species
AUAGUAUUAUCAGAAUUGUUUAGGAAGAGUUAUUAAUUAAAAUAAUUUUAGGGAAGUAUUUUUAGUAUAGUUUAUAGAAUUUAUAAAGUGAAUGAUAGAGUAGUAGUACUGUGAAGGAAUUAUGAAAUAGGUGAAAUAGUUAUUAGGAUAAAAGAAGAAUAUAUUUUGUACCUUGGGUGUCAGGGUUUAUUAAUUAAUAAUAAUGAUUUAGAGUUCCCGAAUUAGAAAGAGUUAAGAUAGUAUAAUAGUUAACGUGUUAUUGUUAUUAAGAAUACUAUUUUAGGAAUGAAAUGUUAAUCGUUUUUUAAGUUAUCUGGUUUUUCAAGAGAUGAAUUUAAUUCAUGUUAUUGAGAGUAAAUGUUUAAUUUUUAUUAAUGAUUUAUUUUUAGUAUCAAAUAUAUAGGGGGAUAAGCUUUUAUAUAAAUGUUAUAAAUUAUGAAAUUUAUAAAGAGUAGUAGGCUUUAAAUUAGCUAUCAAUGGGAUAAUGUUAUAAAUUGUUUUUUAUGGUUAGUUAUUUUUUAGUGGUUUUAGGUUGUUUAUUGAAAUGUUAUGUUAAAUAGGUUAAUAUAAGUAAUAAUGAUAAAAUGAGUAUAUAAAAUUGUUUACAGUAGUUUUGGGAUAAUUUACAUUAAGGAACUAGGCAAAGUAUCACUCGCCUGUUUAUCAAAAACAUCUCCUUUUGUUGUUGUACAAGGUAGGGCCUGCCCACUGAAAGUUAUUUGAAGGGCCGCGGUAUUAUGACCGUGCAAAGGUAGCAUAAUCAUUAGUCUUUUAAUUGAAGGCUGGAAUGAAUGGUUUGACGAGGUGAUGACUGUCUCGGUGUAAUAAGUGGAAGUUAACUUUUAAGUUAAAAGGCUUAAAUUUUAAUGGAGGACGAGAAGACCCUAUAGAGCUUUAUAUAUAAAUUUAAAUUUGUGUUUAGGAGUUUAUAAUAAUUUGGAUUGAUUAUAUUGUGUUGGGGUGACAUAAAGAUAGAAUUAACUCUUUAUUAAUAGAACAUUGAUAUAUGGGUUGUUGAUCCAUUUUUAGUGAUCAGAAGAUUAAGUUACCUUAGGGAUAACAGCGUAAUUUUUCUUGAGAGUUCAUAUCAACAGAGAAGAUUGCGACCUCGAUGUUGGAUUAAGGAAUAUAAUUGGAUGCAGCAGUUUAAUUAAUAGGUCUGUUCGACCUUUAAAUCCUUACAUGAUCUGAGUUCAGACCGGUGUAAGCCAGGUCGGUUUCUAUCCUUAUUAGAUUUUUAUACUUUAGUACGAAAGGACCAAGUAUUUUAAAUAUUUUAUGAUGUUUGAUUAUUAGUA